rnacentral:rRNA from 1 species
AGUGAACGCUGGCGGCAGGCCUAACACAUGCAAGUCGAGCGGCAGCGGGUUCCCGCGAGGGGAUGCCGGCGAGCGGCGGACGGGUGAGGAACACAUCGGAAUCUGCCUGGUUGUGGGGGAUAACGUAGGGAAACUUACGCUAAUACCGCAUGAGACCCUGAGUCGACGGACUGGGGGUGAAAGUGAGGGACCUUCGGGCCUCACGCGACCAGAUGAGCCGAUGUCGGAUUAGCUAGUUGGCGGGGUAACGGCCCGCCAAGGCGACGAUCCGUAGCUGGUCUGAGAGGAUGAUCAGCCACACUGGGACUGAGACACGGCCCAGACUCCUACGGGAGGC